UCAGAUUUUCCAUGUUAAUCUUUUCAAAAUUUCUAUUAAUCCUCUUAAUCACAACUAAUCACAGUAAAUCAAAUUAGAGUUCAUGUUAAUCAAGAUAAACCAAAUAGAAAGGGAUUAGGUUUACGUUCUUGUGACGCAUCAGAUUCUUUGAGAAACUUCCUUCUCUUCACAAAACGCAACGGCGGCCGAAGACUAAUUCUCCGAUUCACCUCUCCCUUCUCCGCCGUGAACGAUCGAACAAGCUAUCGGCUCAUCCCCUCACGUCACUCAUCUUUCUGUCUCUUUAGCUCACUCUGUUUCGACGCGGCUCUCUUGUGUCUGCUCACAUCUCUCUGUUAGGUCUCUUUCUCGGUUCAAUUCUGUUGGAGCUUGUCCGAUGAUUCUUUGAAUCCGGUGGAGAUGAUGAAAGAAAAUCCACGAAAUAAACGUGGAAGACGACUUCAAGAAAUCAGAUUCACCAUGUUCUGAAGCGUUGUUGUUGCAGUUUGCAGAUGAAGAUUGAAGGAUUCAGAUGCGUUGUUGAUGAAGGUGAUGAUGAACUGAUAUUGAAUAUGGUGAAGAUUCAAGAAUAUGGAGAUUUUUCUUGAGUUUUUGAUGCAGAAUCGAUGAAGAGUUUUUUAUGGUUGUUGAAUUGAGAGAGGAGGAUUGAAGAUGAUAAAGAUUGUGUUGGUGAUUUGUUUUGUGAUUGGUGUAGUAAUCGACAUAUUGAACUGAGGGAGAAUUGAAGAUUUUCUGUUAUGGUUCUAUUGAUUGAUGAAGAUGAGUAGAGAGAGUUUGGUUGAGAGAGAGUGAAGAUGAUGAAUUCUGGAGAAGAUUGAUGGAGAGAAUCGAGAGAGUUGGUUACAGGUUCUCUUUCUUUUCUGUUAUUUUUUAUCCUUCUUCUGUUAUGCUACUCUGAUUCUGUUACGUGUUUUUUCUCCUUUUCUUUUGUGCUGCUGGUUCAUUUUUACUCGAACCGAAACCGGUUCGGUUUAUUUGUAGGUCCGAUUCACUUAUGAUACAAGUUUUCUGAUUGAAUAUGCAACCAUGUGAAUCUCCUCUUUUCUCUUAUGUAUCAACAUUGCUUGGUUUAUUACCGUAGGUCAGGAAUUAUUUCCGUGAACCGGUUUUAUGUUGCAGAGCCAUUGGUUAUUUGCAGAGGUGUUUGGAUACGGUAGAUGCGUGUCCACAGGUUUUGAGCCGUUGAUCUGUUACGUGUAACUUUUUAUUGACAUUGGUUUUGGAUUUGAAUGGACUUUUAGCUUUGCAGCAAUGACUUUUCUUUUGUAA